rnacentral:misc_RNA from 1 species
AGUCGUAACAAGGUUUCCGUAGGUGAACCUGCGGAAGGAUCAUUACAGAAUUUUGAGAAUUGUGCUUAACUGCACUUUUCUUAUCUACACACGUGUUUUUGUUUUAUUCUUAAAACUUGCUUUGGCAGUGGCUGCUUAAUUGCUCUGCUGCCAGAGGAUAAACUCAACCUAAAUUUUUUAUUUUAAACUAGUCAACUGAUUAUAUUUAUUAAUAGUCAAAACUUUCAACAACGGAUCUCUUGGUUCUCGCAUCGAUGAAGAACGCAGCGAAAUGCGAUAAGUAAUAUGAAUUGCAGAUAUUCGUGAAUCAUCGAAUCUUUGAACGCACAUUGCGCCCUCUGGUAUUCCGGAGGGCAUGCCUGUUUGAGCGUCAUUUCUCCCUCAAACCCCCGGGUUUGGUGAUGAGCAAUACGCCAGGUUUGCUUGAAAGUUAGGAGGAGUAUUUAUAACAAUGUAUUAGGUCUAACCACUCCAUUGUGCUUAAUAAAAAGCUCCAAUCUAUAUUUCAAACUUCGACCUCAAAUCAGGUAGGAUUACCC